rnacentral:lncRNA from 1 species
CCUAUAUGGUGUGAAGAGAGCCACCUAUUCACUCAAACUCAAUCCCGAAUCAAAUAUUUUUCAGUAGAGAUUUGGGCCCUAUAGUCAUGCUCAAGGGAGGUAAAUGCACCGGGUCAUAUCCCUCCAACUCCCAUUCUCUUUUAGCAAAAAAGAAAAAAAAAAAAGCAAACAACUUUCUAACACCAGUGUGGCUAAGUUGAUAAGCAAAUAACCGCUGAGCAUC